AGCCCUCUGGUGAGUACCACAGGCUGUGUUCUUACACUGACUGUACAGAAAGAGGAGGCAUAGUAAAUCUACCCAUAUACACCAAAGCCCAGGAGCUUUGUCUGGUUUGUAUUGUGAAUGGGGGCAUGG